rnacentral:rRNA from 1 species
AUUGAACGCUGGCGGCAUGCCUUACACAUGCAAGUCGAACGGUAACGCGGGGCAACCUGGCGACGAGUGGCGAACGGGUGAGUAAUAUAUCGGAACGUGCCCAGUAGUGGGGGAUAGCCCGGCGAAAGCCGGAUUAAUACCGCAUGAGACCUGAGGGUGAAAGCGGGGGAUCGCAAGACCUCGCGCUAUUGGAGCGGCCGAUAUCAGAUUAGGUAGUUGGUGGGGUAAAGGCCUACCAAGCCGACGAUCUGUAGCUGGUCUGAGAGGACGACCAGCCACACUGGGACUGAGACACGGCCCAGACUCCUACGGGAGGCAGCUUAGUGGGGAAUUUUGGACAAUGGGCGCAAGCCUGAUCCAGCCAUGCCGCGUGCGGGAAGAAGGCCUUCGGGUUGUAAACCGCUUUUGUCAGGGAAGAAAUCUUCUGGGUUAAUACCUCGGGAGGAUGACGGUACCUGAAGAAUAAGCACCGGCUAACUACGUG